UCUCGUCGCAUGGCUUCUAUGUUGAAUUCUUCAAGCACAUCAUGCGCAUCAUAAAAAGCAUCUUUCAGUUUCUCAAGCCAAACUUGGAUUUGGCGACUCCUGUAGUAUUGCUCCUCUGCAUCGUCCAGUAUAGCCCGAAGCGUAGAGACAGUGCCUUUGAGCUUCACAAGUUCAUGCUUGACGCCCCAUAACUUUCCAACUUUUUCUAGUGCCUGAGGAAUCAGAUUAGCAAUGAUCUCUCCAGCAAUGCUCCCGAUGACAGCUUCCGCCAUUUUUUAUUCUCUCUCUCUCUGGAUGAGAAGAUAUUACUCCAGUCGCUUAUAAGGCUAGAGACUUCUCGGGACAUGUAUAACAAGUUCAUGUUAAAGAUAGGAAUUCUCCUCAGCCACGCAUAAUAGAAGAUGCUGCUCCAGUCAACAAUGCAUAUGGGACCCACCAAGGUUGGGUCGGAGUUCCGUGAAUGAUCAUCAAGGAUAACUUCAAGGAAUUGAAACAAAGAGGGGAUGUGGCCGUCAAACUUGAUGAUCCGUUGGCGAGGGCAUGACCGGUGGAAGCUCUGAUGGGCGGCGAAAGCAACAGCUGCUGGACACCUGCGAAAAGAGAAUUCGGACACAACAAUGAGCUAGUCUGGUGCGGUGGACAGCUGCUGGCGUUGCUGGAAGUUGGCUUGGCCCGACAAGGGGACUCCCGGCACCGCAAAAACAAGCUGGGCAGUGGGGAAUUCGCCAGGAUGCCGGGAAUGCACCGGUGUACGUCAGGCGCUGCUGGAAACUGCUGCAGGGAUCUGCAGGGGCUUUGACAUGCUGGUGGACGUCGGGAGGACUUGCAAGGAGGGGACAAAUCGCUAGGCCUUGUCGUCGGAAGCGCUGCGGGGAUUGCUUGGAGGCUCGCCGAUGCUGUUAGACUGCUGCAGGGAUCUGCCGGCGCUGCUGGAAGCUCGGUGAAGUGCCUUGAAGUGCUGCCGCAGCGGUCGAGGUCGUGCUGGUGUGGCCAGCUCGUCGCUGGAGCUUCUUCGUUCACCGACGUCACUGGGUGGGUUGCAGCCGUUGCUGGAGCGGCAGGACAGGUGGGGCCGCGCCGGUACAGCAACCUUGUUUCCUUCUUUUCUUUAACUUUUUUUGCCGUGCUCCACUCACCCAAUCUGACCGGCUUGUCUUCCUCCAUUUGUCCAAGAAUCCUCUCUUUUAAAUAGCCAAAUUUUCCUCU